ensembl:lncRNA novel transcript, antisense to SLC25A42
ACUCUCCACGGAAGCCAUAGUAGCUGCCCAGGAUGCGCUUGUACUCCUCGUGUGCGCUGAACUGGAUGGCGGCGUAGGGCACCACGCGCACCAUGGUGGCCGAGUUCCCGCGCCACAAGCUGAGAAAUCCCUCGUUGAGGUAGGUGUAGUAGAGGACCCGGAAGGCCUCCUGGAGAUAAGCGGGAAGGUCAACAUCCCUCUGCCUCUGCCUGCCCUCCCUGCGGGCCUCUGUGACCAGCAGAGCGCCCAAAGUGCGGAGGCGGGGCCGGGGUGACCCCAUCUCCAUGCACAGCACAUAACCCCACCCCCAUGUGAGGGCCCCACCCCGAUUUGUCCAGACUGACAUUAUCAACCCCAGCCCCGUCCUUCCUCCCUAUGUUUUCUGGGCCUCCCACCCCACCAAGUUCUCUUGGGGACUGCAAAGCGAACCAGGCUGCAAAGCAGCUCGGAGCCCUGCCCAAGGGCAUGUCUGUUGGUGUUUGGCAUCCCAGCUUUUACAGUUUAUCUUUUCCUUUAUUAAGAAAGUAGCACCUGCUCUCUGUUUAACAAUAAAUCAAACAUGAAAAGGUU